UAACUGGCUAGCAGUAGAAGAAGAAGCAUCGUAAACAAACCAAGCAGGAAAUGUGUUAGAGCUUUUUCCAGCUUUGAUGAAAAGAUGGAUUCAGUCAGCAGACGGUCUCUGGACAGGAUUUAUUCUGUGGUCCUACUGGCCGUGGUGGUUUUGUCCUGGUCCUACGUGAUCUACGCCAGCAGGAUCGCAGCUAAUUGGCUGCUGGAGAGGAGGACCGUCGUCCUGCAGCAAGACUGACGCUCCCAUCGCUGGGUCAGACCUCUGGCAGGCUGACCUGAAGGGCAUGAACAGACUGAGGACCGAGCCAACCAGACAUGCUGAGAUGGAUGACCUGAGUGGAGACGGAAACCAGAGACUGGUUUAAACCUGAUCAUGGAUGUGAUGGGAUGGUGUGGACGGUUUCCAGACCAGCUUCAGACUCGAGCUUUGUCCCAAUUCAGAGCCUCCAUACGUCAUGGUGGUGCACCAAGCACGGUCCCAUUCGGAAGGAGCCUCCGAAUCCGCACGUCGUUUGGCCUCAAACGAAGGACGCUGGCGAUCCUUCACGGCCUCUUUUCUCCCAGAAUUCAUUGCAUACAAGACGGUGGCGAAUGAGUAACGGAGUUCAGAAGAGGUUUUUUUUUUGUUGUUUUUUUUAACCAGACUUUAGUAGAAACAUAGAAACCAAGUACAUUAAAAACAUGUCUGUUAAACGGUGACAUUAAAAUUCUGUAAUAUUUAAUUAAUAUUUGUGCAUUUUAAGGGGUUAAUGAUGAAUCUGACAGAGUUUUUUUACUCCGUUGGUACUAAAGUGUUCUGUGAUAUGCAGACGGUCAUUUCAGAGGUUUAAGUGAUUCAACGUCCAACGUUGCUGCUAUGGGAAAUACUCGUUGGUUAGGUAGGCUGUGCCAUUUCACGAACGUUAAGCGAGCUUGGAAGUGUGCAGACCCUGAACUGGGACACAGCUUCAGGGAUGUAAACCCUGGAGCAAACCGGAGCUGAAGGUCUGCAGAGCAUUUCUGGACCAUCCUAACACACUCCGAGUUUAAAAUGAGACCCUAAACAUUGGUAAACAAGUCUCCUAAAAGUCUCUGUUUUGUUCGUUCAUCAGUAAAAAUCUGUUUUUUGUAUUCAGGGCGGAGGAUCUGAUUCUUUUCUGUGCAAAAUAAAACUCACAGUUCAGUUGAUUCUUCUUUUAAAAUGAUUCUGAAACACAAAUAAGAGGUUUUGCUAAGCAGACUGAGACUAUUUGUUGCUUCUUUUUUCUGUUUUUAGUUUUUCUUUCUGACUUUGUGAAGAUAUUGUGUAAAAUGUGUUCCAGAAAUAAAGUUAGAUUUAUUG